CCUACGGGAGGCAGCAGUGAGGAAUAUUGGUCAAUGGCCGGAAGGCUGAACCAGCCAAGCCGCGUGAAGGACGAAGGUGCCAAGCAUUGUAAACUUCUUUUGUCAAGGAACAAAAUCAGGCUCGAGAGCCUGACCGAGGGUACUUGAAGAAAAAGCAUCGGCUAACUCCGUGCCAGCAGCCGCGGUAAUACGGAGGAUGCGAGCGUUAUCCGGAUUUAUUGGGUUUAAAGGGUGCGUAGGCGGACUGUUAAGUCAGCGGUAAAAGCCCGGGGCUCAACCCCGACGAGCCGUUUAAACUGGCGGUCUUGAGAUGUCGAGAGGUAGGCGGAAUGUGCAGUGUAGCGGUGAAAUGCUUAGAUAUUGCGCAGAACUCCGAUUGCGAAGGCAGCAUACCGGCGGCGAUCUGACGCUGAGGCACGAAAGCGUGGGUAUCGAACAGGAUUAGAUACCCCUGUAGUC
rnacentral:rRNA from 1 species